UAAAUACUCCCUCCGUCCCAAAAUUCUUGUCUGAGGUUUGUUAGAAAUGGAUGUAUCAACAUACUAAAAUGUGACUAGAUACAUUCAUAUAUAGACAAAUCUGAGACAAGAAUUUUGGGACGGAGGGAGUACUAA
rfam:Hordeum vulgare subsp. vulgare, WGS project CAJW01000000 data, contig: morex_contig_248751